CAGACGGUAAUGAAGUUCAGGAUCAAUCCCUAAUGGAAUGGAGAGACAUGCUUUCAUUGGUGUAAGCUGCCACUGAGAUCCUGGAGCUGUGUUGUGAUUGUAGAAGCCAUAGUUGUACUGGAAAACAAAGGAAAAGGACAUGAGCACUGGACAAACCUUAAGGGGGAAGCCAAACUGAGGUUCAAGGAGUGCCUAGUGAGAGACCAAACACUGUGGAAGCAGAACUGAAAAGGAACAUAUCUAGGCACUUAAGACAACCCAAAUGCCUAAAGUUAGACUGAUCGGAUCUGGGCCCUGAAGUCUAAGACACAGCAGAUGUAUAUGUUGAAGCUUCUCUGCUCUUCUCUACCAAGUCUCAGCUGUCAGUGAUUUAGGAACUCUGUGAACCUCUGGAUCUAGACAAGCCACAG